GGCUUCUAUUCCUUCCACUGGGUCUUUGGCCAAUGUUUUUCAGAGGGAAGAGGAAUAAAAGGAAGAGAAGAAAGAAGUGAAAGCAGAAAGUGAGGAUACAAGAUGGCCAUCUGCAACCUGGGAGGGAGUCCUCACCAGAGCCUAACCAUGCUGGCACCUUGAUCUCAGACUGCACAUUUCCAGAACAUGAGAAAUCACUUCUGGUGUUUAAGCUCCCACUCUACAAUUUGCAUCUGAAGCCUGAACUGACCAAAACACAGUUAAGACAGAGCAAAAGUCAACAAACUACCACUGGUGGCCAAAUUUGGGGCACAAGGAGAAAACAGCGGUCUGCAACCCGGAAGAGGCUCUUCACCACACCUUGACCAUGCUGGCAUCCUGAUCGCAUACUCCUAGCUCUCAGAGCCCUCUGCAAAAUGGAACCACAACUCUGCUAUUCAUCACCCAUCCAGCACCAGCCCUUGCACAAAGUGUUUCCUGCCUUCUUUGGCUCUAACCAUCCACGUUUUCUCAAAGCCCUUGAGUGGCCCAUAGAGCCAUGACCUGCAGAAUCUAACACACAUCUUUGUUUCAACCCCUGAGCCC